CGAUGUGCUGAUAUUCCGAAAAACAGAAAUCGAUUAUCAAGACCGAAAUCGGACUGAUUUCGGGCCCAUUAUCGGGAAGUGUGGAUGUAAUUCGCCCUUUAGUCCCUUUUUCUUUAGGGUGACGAUGAAGUGACAAAUCAAUAAAUGUUAUCAUUGUUGCCACAGGUAAACAAGCCAUGUUAUAGUUUCUAUUUUUCUCCGUGAGCUUCUACGGAUUAUCGUCUUAUCUAUUGUUUAAAAACCGCAAAGGCGCGUGCCACUAUGAAAAAAUGGUCAGUCCGCAUAGGUAGCGUUAUUGAAUUACUACUCUAUUGAGCACGGAAUAAGAUUCAUUAUGAACUAAUACAGAAUUCUAACAGAAUAGCUGUCUGAUCUCUAUUGGUGCGUCCAAGGUAGGCGACUAAACGCUCUCAAACCAGCUUAACUUGUGACACUGCGAUCCGAAACAAAGAUACGUAUUCGAAGACCUCGCUUGCAUUGGUAAUGCGAGCGCACGGCUAGCUAGCGCCAAGGAAGCAAUGUUAUGUUUCUCGAAGAGCAGGUAAAAAACAGGGCCGGAUUUUCACACAAAUAUAUUUGGGUGGUUUGCUUGAAAGAGUUAGCGUGAUUUGAUUCUAAACGGUAUGCAUAUUUUGUUUUAUAUUUAUUUAUUUCAUACGUACAAUAUUGUGUAGCUAUAUAUAACUUAAUUUUUUGUUGACUUUCAGAUACGUAUUAAGCACACUGUCCAAUACCUUCGCCAGUAUAGUUGCCACUCCUGUAAUGCGCGCGCGCUAACUCGACACAUACUAACAUCGUAAUAUGAUUCACAUUACGAUGCAAACUUCCACCGAAAAUUGGUUUGAACGAGAUCUAGUAAGUAGUUUAUUUUAUUAAUCCAUAAAAUAAAAAUAUUUUUUUUUUCAUCAAACCCAUACGUGUGGGGUAUCUAUGAAUAGGUCUUCAAAAAUGAUAUUUAGGUUUCUAAUAUCAUUUUUUUCUAAACUGAAUAGUUUGCGCGAGAGACACUACCAAAGUGGUAAAAUGUGUGUCCAAAAAAGUGGUAAAAUGUGUGUCCAAAGUGGUAAAAUGUUGAACGAGAUCUAGUAAGUAGUUUUUUUUAUACGUCAUAAAUGGUACGGAACCCUUCAUGGGCGAGUCCGACUCGCACUUGGCCGCUUUUUUGAUGAUAACUUUUUGUACCGUGAGGUACAAUUUUUUUAAAGGAGGUACUAAAUAGUACAAAUUAGGUACAAAAAUAUGGUAUGUUUUUCAUUUGAUUUUAUUUAGGUACACCUGCCAUUCUGACUCUCACUAUUUUGUAACCUACCUACCUACCUAUUUAUGUCACCUACCUACCUAUUUAUAUUAUCUACAUACCCAUUUCUAGUUGUUUUUCACAUAUGUAUCCAAAUCUGCCCUUUAUUGGGAAUGAGCUUGUGCUAAAUUGAACCCUACCAUUUUGUAAUAGGGUUCCAUACAAUUUUGAGAAAAUGUUACCACUGCCUUCUAAAGCCCUAAAAGUUUGGUAAAUAAAUGAGAGUUUGAUGCUUUGGACUGGCUCAGAAUUUAUUAUUAUUAUAUUUAAAUUGAUAUUGAACAUCCAUCCAAUGGCUGACUAAUUAAGAUUUCCUAUGUAUAGUUUUUGGUAUUGUACCCUUGUUCACCUACAGUCUUGUAUUUUAUACAACAUACUGUACCCCUAGUGUAAAUAAAUUCGAUUUCAAAACGUGACGUACGCGUUUGCGUUUAGUCUCAUUUUGUAUUGGAUUUAGAAAGAGCGCGCCAAGCGGGACGUUUUGGAAACUCAAAAUCCUAUACAAAAUGAGACUUAACGCAAACGCGUUCGUCACGUUAUGAUGUCGAUCAAAUUUACACUAGGGGUACUGUUCAUUAUCUUACAUUUGGAAGUAAUAAUACUAUUGACUUAAUUCAAUACAUGAUAAAUUUUUCUGAAGUAAAUGGAAAAUAUGUCAUGUUUGAUUAUUUUCACUGAAGGCAACUGGGGUUCGAGAACUUAAAAUUCAAAUGCUCAAAUGACUGAGCUAUUCGGGAACAUUUUAUACUUUGUUAUUAAAAUUAUAAUGUAUUUUUUAGUCAACUUGUAUGGCAAUUUACCAAACUGCCUGCAAAGGGAAAAAUAAAAUAUCCAUAUUCAAACAUUAUGAUAAUAUAAAACAUAAGCUCAAACUAUAGGAAGCUUGUAAGAAGUGUUAGUGAAAAAAGUAUAAACCAUGAACCCCACGAACUGACCUUCACAAUAAGGCAGCCAUGUAGAUUUUGUCCUUGUAAAGGCUGUUAGCAUUAUUUUGUAUAUUAGUAUAUGAGUAUGAAGUUCACAACCAAAUCAUUUAUUUAUUUUAUUGUAUUAGUGCAUCCAGCACAAUCUGGAAUGUCUUUCUUCUGGAUAUGGUUACAUAAUUUUUGAUUAGCAAAGGAAUAAUAAAAACGGUAUGCCAAUGCUUAAGCCUUAAAACGGUGUAGCAUAGAUUAUAAAUGCUUAGUAAAUUCCUUAAUCUAGAGACUAUUCCAACGGCAUCCGGAACAUUGUUAUUAUUUGUAAAAAGAUCACCUCAAUGUCCCACGGACAUAGAGAACGAAGCACAAUGUCGGCAUGGAAUAUGUGGAUAUUUCAAGCAUUCAAGCCAUCACCUCAAACGUCCCACGGACAUAGAGCACGAAGCACAAUGCCACGCGAUGUGUUGAUAUUUUCAAGUUAACAUCUCAAUGUCCCACGGACAUAGACAAACUCGUCACACGAGAAUGUAUAAAAAGUUUACAAAAUCUUUGUAUCGAUAUUUUAUAAUAAAAUGAGGUUAAGUACAUGAA